CCUUCCAGAAGAUACGCUGUCUUUCCAUCAUGGCUUGGGUCCUUCUGCUCUUCACCCUCCUCUCGUCCUUCAAUCUCAGUGUCCAGCAGCUGAAGAACUUGAAAGAUCCAGAGUUGGUAGCCCCAGGAGAGACAGUCGUUUUGUCAUGUAGCUACAGUGCUGGAACCAUCACAGAUAACAGCUACCCUCUAUGGAUCCAGCAGAAGUCAGAAGAAGUUCCACGGCUCUUGAUCUAUACCACCAGCACCAGGGCCAGCGGUACUCCAGCCCGCUUCUCUGGUUCAAAGUCAGCAAACACCAUGUCCCUGAUCAUCACAGAAAGCCAGGUGGAAGACGAUGCGACUUAUUACUGUGUUGUUUGGAGUGGCAGCGGGUGGCACAUCUGUUCAUUGGGAUGGGAAACCGCGAUAAAAACCUCACAGCAGGAACUGAACCAGCUUCAGAAGUUUGGGUUCCUCUUAUUACAAGGAAGACCGUAA